rnacentral:rRNA from 1 species
AACUGCGGAUGGCUCAUUACAACAGUUAUUAUUGAAAUAGUGAAUAUUUGGAAUUAGAGGAGCAAUCCUUGAAAAUCAAAAGAAUAUAUGGAUAACCCUGCUAAUCGUAGAGCUAAUACAUGAAGUCAAGGCUCGAAGGAAAAUGGGAGGCAAGCCGAGAUGCAAGCUCAUGGGAAGACAAAGUCGAACUGCACGACAACCCUAAACCAGAUGAGGUGUAAUGAGAAAGACCUUGUCGGGGAAGGAUCCUGAGAGAGGGCAUGAGUAGGUAGCUGAACCAUAUACCAUAGAGUCGCAUUUGUCAGCAAAGCGAGAAAUGGGGUUACUCUCUCUUUAUUGAGAGGGUAAUUCAUGAGGAGACAAAGACAUGCUAAUGGAUGAGGUAUGUAGAAAAAAGACCUCAAAGCCAGGACAUGAGAAUAAAAACGGACAGCUGGAUGAGCAAAUCUAUUAGGGAAGAGACGAAAAAGAAAAAAGCCAGUUGCUGUGAGACCCUGGGUCAAACUGGGGGGUAAUGGCAGAAUGACUAAAGCUAAUAGAGCACGGCUGAGCAAUGGAGUCUCCAAGUGAGAUAGGACAAAGGAGCAAAUUGCAGAUAAGAGGAGGUGGAGACAUCUUCUCGGCAAUGCACUAGAGAAAUUUCUGACCUAUCAACUGGAUGGCAGGAUCGGGGCUUGCCAUGGUGUUGACGGGUAACGAGGAAUUAGGGUUCGAUUUCGGAGAGGUGGCCUGGGAAACGGCGACCACUUCCAAGGAAGGCAGCAGGCGCG